rnacentral:rRNA from 1 species
AUUGAACGCUGGCGGCAUGCCUUACACAUGCAAGUCGAACGGCAGCACGGGGGCAACCCUGGUGGCGAGUGGCGAACGGGUGAGUAACAUAUCGGAACGUGCCCUGGAGUGGGGGAUAACUAGUCGAAAGACUAGCUAAUACCGCAUACGAUCUACGGAUGAAAGUGGGGGAUCGCAAGACCUCAUGCUCGUGGAGCGGCCGAUAUCUGAUUAGCAGUUGGUGGGGUAAGGCCUACCAAGGCAUCGAUCAGUAGCUGGUCUGAGAGGACGACCAGCCACACUGGGACUGAGACACGGCCCAGACUCCUACGGGAGGCAGCAGUGGGGAAUUUUGGACAAUGGGCGCAAGCCUGAUCCAGCAAUGCCGCGUGAGUGAAGAAGGCC